AUAUAAUUUUCUCGCAGCACUGCGGAGUUGAUGUCAGCAACGUCGACGCGGUCGACGCUGUUUCGUCGCCAUGUUGUGGAAGCUGAUUUUUACUCGGUAAUUUGCACGGUUUGUUUCUCGCGGCUCGCUACAAGUUUUUCUUUGUUAAUAUUUUAUUCGUGAGUGUCGUGGAACAGUUGGCAAAUAAACGUAUUUUAUUAAGUGCAAUUUACCAUCAAAACGCGAUUGGUGUUGGCCGUAAACAUCGGCUAGGAUUUUGCGUAUUUCGACGACGACGGGUAGGAAGAAAAAAGUCGGAUUUCAGGUCACGGGACUGUGCAAGCCGAUCCUGAAGGCAAUCCUUCAAAUGGGAUACAAACUGCCAACUAACAUCCAACACAAAACUAUCUAUCACUGCAGUGGGAUCAGAGCACUGAUUUAAUGAACCGUGAUGUGGUUGCAAUGGUCAUUACUGGCUUGGUGAAUCCGGAUUCCGACGAGUCUAUAAGUUCGGUCCUAGAGCGUUACUUAUGUUGUUAUUUGGAAGUACAAAAUCUUAAACAGCUGGUAAUGUUUACGGAUUUUAAAACUAGCUAGCACUUCGAGACGAUGCGAUGAAUGCGCAGUUUACGGCCAUUCAAAUGCUGCCGGAUCUGAUCGUUUCAACGCCAGUACGAAACUGUCAGCGGUAGUGCACCAGGACAUCGUCUUUUUGAUUGGUUUCGGCGAGAAGUUACGGAGACUAUGCGGUAGUUGUACGAUUAAAAUAGAUGCUCCUGUUCUGCGCAAGCUGGUGGUCGAUGAGGGCUGACUUAAGCGAUCCAACGCUGAUCCGAUUAGACGUAGAGUCGUAAAUUCCGACAGCACUGCAUUUGAAAUUCUUUUAAAGGCCGGAAGGACUCGCCUCAUUUCUUUUGGUCCGUGAGGGGAUUCAAAAACACGCCCAAACUGUGUUUAACGGGACGCAGCAUCACGUUCAAUUGAUUUCUCUGCUUAAGAACAAAGUGGCAUCUGCGUUGUCUUCUUUUCGCUCGGUCCAUAACUGUAUGUCGCCAACCAGACAGUCUACCAAGGGUCCGUAAAUCAUCGUAUUGAUGGCUCUUCUAUGUUCGAAGCGGAUCUCCCUUUAGAUCACAAUCAAUGCCAAUUUUUGCAUGAAUACAACUUUUAAUGUGGAAGGAAAAGUCUAUUAUCUAUUAUGAUUUGGUCAACACCUACGCUCACGGCAACUUUGAAACGCCUAUUGAGAACUUCUCAUCCAGACUGAUUUUGCAACCACUUGAAAAGGAUUGGAUUGCCGUUGCAUUGAUGUCUUGGAACUCCAAGAACAUUUGAAAAAGACUUGACGUAUCGUCGAUGUAUCGCCUUCCUGUAAGCCCUCUACGGUAAUUUCUCCGCGCCGCAGUCUGAGAAAACAAUUGUCACGUGUUGGUAAGCAGAAACCGUACAAUUUUGUUUCGGUGUGAUGAUCUGGAUCUAUAUACUAUGAUUUCUUGGCGGCGGCGAUAUCUUCUCGGUCCCGCGGUCGUACUAUUGAAGGACAGUGAAGUAACAACGAAGGAGACCAUCGCAUUCCGGCACAACCAGGGAACGCCGAUGAGGAUGGUUACCACAAGCAACCACUUUCGAUAAAGACCCUUAAAGAAUAAAUUUUAAAUGCUUAUAAAA